GGAGGGGUGGCAGAGUGGACGAUUGCGCUGGUCUUGAAAACCAGAGGCCGGGUCACACCGGUCCGCGGGUUCGAAUCCCGCCCCCUCCG
rnacentral:tRNA from 1 species